rnacentral:rRNA from 1 species
GACGGAGGGCGCAAGCGUUGUUCGGAAUUACUGGGCGUAAAGCGCGCGCAGGCGGGAAUAUAAGUCUGGAGUGAAAUUCCGGGGCUCAACUCCGGAGCUGCUUUGGAUACUGUUUUUCUAGGGACCGGUAGAGGCCGGUGGAAUUCCCGGUGUAGCGGUGGAAUGCGUAGAGAUCGGGAAGAACACCCGUGGCGAAGGCGGCCGGCUGGGCCGGAUCCGACGCUGAGGUGCGAAAGCGUGGGGAGCAAACAGG